rnacentral:rRNA from 1 species
ACACUCCUACGGGAGGCAGCAGUGGGGAAUAUUGGACAAUGGGCGCAAGCCUGAUCCAGCCAUGCCGCGUGAGUGAUGAAGGCCCUAGGGUUGUAAAGCUCUUUUGUGCGGGAAGAUAAUGACGGUACCGCAAGAAUAAGCCCCGGCUAACUUCGUGCCAGCAGCCGCGGUAAUACGAAGGGGGCUAGCGUUGCUCGGAAUCACUGGGCGUAAAGGGUGCGUAGGCGGGUCUUUAAGUCAGGGGUGAAAUCCUGGAGCUCAACUCCAGAACUGCCUUUGAUACUGAAGAUCUUGAGUUCGGGAGAGGUGAGUGGAACUGCGAGUGUAGAGGUGAAAUUCGUAGAUAUUCGCAAGAACACCAGUGGCGAAGGCGGCUCACUGGCCCGAUACUGACGCUGAGGCACGAAAGCGUGGGGAGCAAACAGGAUUAGAAACCCCAGUAGUCCC